rnacentral:lncRNA from 1 species
GGCUGGGGGUUCACAUGUCGCGCCGUAUCUCAGAAACUAUCUAUAAUAAUUGCAUAGAACUUCACAUACUAUUUAGUUAAAUUAUUCUUAAGAUCUGUACACUUUUUCGUGAUGAUUCUUUAAUUCAUUUUUGAGUUCUUGAAUUUUUAUUGAGCUUCAAUUUGGGGAUCAUAUAAACAUGUUGUGAUAUAUAAACUUAUUAUUGAGCAAGAAUAAUGAAUGAGUCAGGAUAUACCUAGCAUGACUUCCGUACAACCCCCGUGUUAUUUUAAAAACAUGUAUUAUGUUGGGUUUUUUUUUCAUGAGACGAAGGGCGUAUCAUGCGCUCGAAGCGCAGCUGUUUAUUUUUUCUUUAUUUUUUUAUAGAUAUAUUAGAGAAAUGACGGAAUGACAGAAAAUACAAUGCAAUUUUCAAUAUAAUUAAUAUUUCCAAAUGGCAUAACUCUUUUAAAGAAUAGUUGAUAUGCACUGAUUUUCGAACAUGUCCAUACGAUAUCAGUUUUAUAGAAAGUUUGCAAGAAUUGUACACUUGAAAAAUCUAAUUAACCAGAAGUCUGGAAGGACAGACAGGGGAAUGGACAUGCGGUAUUUUAUGUACGCGCUGUGGUGAAAAAAAUAUAUAGUUAUUUACCAAUAAAAUUACGCUAUGAGAGAAUGAUUUUAAUUGCAACUAAUCGUAAUAUAUCCAGUCCUCUCGCUAUUAAUUCAAUCAUUUUUUUGCCAAAUCAAAAAAUUUCAAAAUUAUAGUUUCUCUGUCUGGACAAAAGCAUCCAUUAGCAAAUUGAAGAUUCUCCUUUGUAAGAUUUUGCUUCUGUUUUCUGACCACAUAAAACGGAAGAUGUGGUAUAAUUGCCAAUUAGACAACUCUCAUCAAGAGACAAACAUGACACAGAAAUUAACAACUAUAGGUCUUCAACAAUGAGCAAAGCCCA